rnacentral:rRNA from 1 species
AGAGUUUGAUCAUGGCUCAGGACGAACGCUGGCGGCGUGCUUAACACAUGCAAGUCGAACGGAAAGGCCCUUCGGGGUACUCGAGUGGCGAACGGGUGAGUAACACGUGGGUGAUCUGCCCUGCACUUUGGGAUAAGCCUGGGAAACUGGGUCUAAUACCGAAUAGGACCACGCGCUUCAUGGUGUGUGGUGGAAAGCUUUUGCGGUGUGGGAUGGGCCCGCGGCCUAUCAGCUUGUUGGUGGGGUAAUGGCCUACCAAGGCGACGACGGGUAGCCGGCCUGAGAGGGUGACCGGCCACACUGGGACUGAGAUACGGCCCAGACUCCUACGGGAGGCAGCAGUGGGGAAUAUUGCACAAUGGGCGCAAGCCUGAUGCAGCGACGCCGCGUGAGGGAUGACGGCCUUCGGGUUGUAAACCUCUUUCAAUAGGGACGAAGCGCAAGUGACGGUACCUAUAGAAGAAGCACCGGCCAACUACGUGCCAGCAGCCGCGGUAAUACGUAGGGUGCGAGCGUUGUCCGGAAUUACUGGGCGUAAAGAGCUCGUAGGUGGUUUGUCGCGUUGUUCGUGAAAACUCACAGCUUAACUGUGGGCGUGCGGGCGAUACGGGCAGACUAGAGUAUUGCAGGGGAGACUGGAAUUCCUGGUGUAGCGGUGGAAUGCGCAGAUAUCAGGAGGAACACCGGUGGCGAAGGCGGGUCUCUGGGCAGUAACUGACGCUGAGGAGCGAAAGCGUGGGUAGCGAACAGGAUUAGAUACCCUGGUAGUCC